UGAUUGAACGCUGGCGGCAGGCCUAACACAUGCAAGUCGAGCGGUAGCACAGAGAGCUUGCUCUCGGGUGACGAGCGGCGGACGGGUGAGUAAUGUCUGGGAAACUGCCUGAUGGAGGGGGAUAACUACUGGAAACGGUAGCUAAUACCGCAUAACGUCGCAAGACCAAAGUGGGGGACCUUCGGGCCUCAUGCCAUCAGAUGUGCCCAGAUGGGAUUAGCUAGUAGGUGGGGUAACGGCUCACCUAGGCGACGAUCCCUAGCUGGUCUGAGAGGAUGACCAGCCACACUGGAACUGAGACACGGUCCAGACUCCUACGGGAGGCAGCAGUGGGGAAUAUUGCACAAUGGGCGCAAGCCUGAUGCAGCCAUGCCGCGUGUGUGAAGAAGGCCUUCGGGUUGUAAAGCACUUUCAGCGGGGAGGAAGGCGGUGAGGUUAAUAACCUCAUCGAUUGACGUUACCCGCAGAAGAAGCACCGGCUAACUCCGUGCCAGCAGCCGCGGUAAUACGGAGGGUGCAGGCGUUAAUCGGAAUUACUGGGCGUAAAGCGCACGCAGGCGGUCUGUCAAGUCGGAUGUGAAAUCCCCGGGCUCAACCUGGGAACUGCAUUCGAAACUGGCAGGCUAGAGUCUUGUAGAGGGGGGUAGAAUUCCAGGUGUAGCGGUGAAAUGCGUAGAGAUCUGGAGGAAUACCGGUGGCGAAGGCGGCCCCCUGGACAAAGACUGACGCUCAGGUGCGAAAGCGUGGGGAGCAAACAGGAUUAGAUACCCUGGUAGUCCACGCCGUAAACGAUGUCGAUUUGGAGGUUGUGCCCUUGAGGCGUGGCUUCCGGAGCUAACGCGUUAAAUCGACCGCCUGGGGAGUACGGCCGCAAGGUUAAAACUCAAAUGAAUUGACGGGGGCCCGCACAAGCGGUGGAGCAUGUGGUUUAAUUCGAUGCAACGCGAAGAACCUUACCUGGUCUUGACAUCCACAGAACUUUCCAGAGAUGGAUUGGUGCCUUCGGGAACUGUGAGACAGGUGCUGCAUGGCUGUCGUCAGCUCGUGUUGUGAAAUGUUGGGUUAAGUCCCGCAACGAGCGCAACCCUUAUCCUUUGUUGCCAGCGGUUAGGCCGGGAACUCAAAGGAGACUGCCAGUGAUAAACUGGAGGAAGGUGGGGAUGACGUCAAGUCAUCAUGGCCCUUACGACCAGGGCUACACACGUGCUACAAUGGCAUAUACAAAGAGAAGCGACCUCGCGAGAGCAAGCGGACCUCAUAAAGUAUGUCGUAGUCCGGAUUGGAGUCUGCAACUCGACUCCAUGAAGUCGGAAUCGCUAGUAAUCGUAGAUCAGAAUGCUACGGUGAAUACGUUCCCGGGCCUUGUACACACCGCCCGUCACACCAUGGGAGUGGGUUGCAAAAGAAGUAGGUAGCUUAACCUUCGGGAGGGCGCUUACCACUUUGUGAUUCA
rnacentral:rRNA from 1 species